UAUUUUUGUGUCUGAUUUUCUCUCUGAGGAUUUCGUUGUUCACUAUUUUCAUGGCUCGAAUCCUGUCUCAAACCCUCAUCAGAGUAUCCUCGCCAUCCUUUCUCUCCAGCCAAUCCCCUCCCUUCGCUCCCUCUUCGCGAUUGGUAAACCACAGGAGCCGAUCGAAUCGGUCGGAGAAAGUUCAGGCGCAGGUGAUCGAGGUGGAUCUGGAUUCCGAAAACGAAGUCGAGGUCUUGGGAAUGCGUAGGCUUGAGGACGCAAUUCAUGGAAUAAUCGUCAGGAGAUCGGCGCCGGAUUGGUUGCCUUUCAUCCCAGGAUCCUCUUAUUGGGUCCCACCGCGGAAACGACCCUAUGGAAUAGUUGAAUUGGUCGGAAGAUUGGCGAAUCCUUUGACGGAGGAGGAGACUCUCUCCCUUACGACGGUUAGAGGGUGGCCUUCGUUUUCGUAUUUUGUAGAAGGUGCAGGCCCACAGCAUGUGGAGAUCGAUGCAAAUUCUAUGAAAAGUUCCCAGUCUGAGGAUGAAGAAAGGUGAUUUGCAUGUCCGAAGGAAUAAGCAUCUAGGGUGGUUAAAAUGCCCCUAUGAAUGCUGAGUUUUUAAUAGCAAAAAGGAGACAAGUCCUUAAAAUAAAGAAUGCUAAAUGCAGAAUUAGGGCAUGUUUGUUUACUCUGAAGUCUGACAUCUGAAAGUGCAAUAAUUAUAUUAAGAGGCUCUCUCAUAUGUAGAUACUGAAAAAACGAAAAAUCAAAAAGGGAACUUAUAAAAUGGAUCAAACAAAGGCCAUUGUGGUAUCAAAUACAACAUAGAUGGGGUCAUUGUACAGAUGCACCUCUGGUGGUGGUGGCUAAAAUGUAAAUCAGCAAUAAUGCUCAGCCUUGAUCCACCCAGAAACUUACCCAUCCAUCAUUUACUCAGGCUGGUCAAGGAGGCAAAGUUUGUUAGUUCCGUUGUGUACAUUUAAACGAUGCAAUCGUAUGGUUGGAUUUAUUAGUAUAUUUAUUGUUUUGGGCAAAUUUCUUAAA